GAUGAACGCUGGCGGCGUGCCUAAUACAUGCAAGUCGAGCGAAGCGGGGACGGGUGAGUAACACGUGGAUAACCUCCUAUAAGACUGGGAUAACUUUGGGAAACCGGAGCUAAACCGGAUACUUAUCGAUGGAUCCGCGCUGGAUUAGCUAGUUGGGAAGGUAACGGCUCACCAAGGCAACGAUGCAUAGCCGACCUGAGAGGAUGACCGGCCACACUGGAACUGAGACACGGUCCAGACUCCUACGGGAGGCAGCAGUAGGGAAUAUUGCGCAAUGGGCGCAAGCCUGACGGAGCAACGCCGCGUGAGUGAUGAAGGUCUUCGGGUCGUAAAACUCUGUUAUUAGGGAAGCGGUACCUAAACAGAAAGCCACGGCUAACUACGUGCCAGCAGCCGCGGUAAUUC
rnacentral:rRNA from 1 species